UACGUAGGUGGCAAGCGUUGUCCGGAUUUAUUGGGUUUAAAGGGUGCGUAGGCGGUCUUAUAAGUCAGUGCUGAAAUAUCCCGGCUUAACCGGGAGGGUGGCAUUGAUACUGCAGGACUUGAGUAGAGUUGAGGUUGGCGGAAUUGACGGUGUAGCGGUGAAAUGCGUAGAUAUCUGGAGGAACACCAGUGGCGAAAGCGCGUGACUGGGCCACAACUGACGCUGAGGAACGAAAGCCAGGGGAGCGAAAGGG
rnacentral:rRNA from 1 species